rnacentral:lncRNA from 1 species
CCUGCUGUAGCAAUGUCACUUUGAGGCACAUGGAGCAGCCAACACACACCUAUUUGUGGAGCAAGCAUUAAAAAGCAGACCCACCUUUGCCAGAUUUGCUCCCAGACCACGGCCAUCUCAGCGUGUUUAUGGCUUCCACUUGUGGGCUGUUUGGGAUCAUUAAAUAAAUGUCACAGGAACUCUGGAGGUGGUAAGUAAUCAGAGCAGCUGGGAGAGCUGAAACAACUGCAAGGGCAAGAAAAAUAUUUUGCAAAGGAAACUUCACUGAACUCUUGCACAGAAGACAAAAGAGGUGAAAAGGAGCAACUUUCUGUUUCAUUUUGAAUGGAGAUUUUUCCGCUCUCACUGCAUUCCGGAAGACAAAAAAAAAAAGAAAAAAUGUCAGCAGAGAUGCUUUCAUCAGAAGAUUUGAAGUCCCAACCCAUGCUAGAAGCCCAUCUCCCCAACCGCUGCCCCAUUAGUGAUAUCAAACCAGUCGUUUCCAGCAGAGCACAGACCCCACGUCAGCACUCCCCAAAUCCUGCAGACCCAUCAGGCCAAUCAAGACAUGAUUAAGAAGUCACAGAACCCACAGUGAGA